rnacentral:rRNA from 1 species
AUUGAACGCUGGCGGCAUGCCUUACACAUGCAAGUCGAACGGCAGCACGGGAGCAAUCCUGGUGGCGGGUGGCGAACGGGUGAGUAAAGUAUCGGAACGUGCCCAGUCGUGGGGGAUAACGUAGCGAAAGUUACGCUAAUACCGCAUACGAUCUAUGGAUGAAAGCGGGGGAUCGCAAGACCUCGCGCGAUUGGAGCGGCCGAUAUCAGAUUAGGUAGUUGGUGGGGUAAAGGCUCACCAAGCCGACGAUCUGUAGCUGGACUGAGAGGACGACCAGCCACACUGGGGCUGAGACACGGCCCAGACUCCUACGGGAGGCAGCAGUGGGGAACUUUGGACAAUGGGCGAAAGCCUGAUCCAGCCAUGCCGCGUGCAGGAUGAAGGCCUUCGGGUUGUAAACUGCUUUUGUACGGAACGAAAAGGUUUGGCCUAAUAAGCUGAGCUCAUGACGGUACCGUAAGAAUAAGCACCGGCUAACUACGUGCCAGCCGCCGCCGUAA